UUACAACAAUGGAGUUCAAAGAGAGAGCGAGCGAGCGAGCGAGGGAGGGGGAUUCAAUGAAGGAGGAAGGGAAAAUGGUGUUGAAGUCUAAGAUGAAAUGGGUUGGUUUAGUUGGGCUAGUUUUGUCUGCCUUCUCUCUUUUUGUACACUUUCUUCUUGCUAGAUUCACUGAGGAAGGCAUUGCAGAGUACCAGUCUUCCAUCACAAUCUUCUCUUGGAGACCCAUAUUUGAGAACGCUGAAUUAGCCAAAACUGGUCCACUGUAUAGAAGACUAUGGGGUCCAGUGAGACGUUUUGAAUCUCUGCAUCCGGAUGCAAAUCCCAGAGGACAUUAUGCAGAUCCCAAACCACUAUCAAAUGGAUAUAUCUUUGUCAGGAUACAAGGUGGCUUCCAUGAAAUUAGGAAUUCGAUAUGUGAUGUGGUUGUGGUUGCUCGACUUCUUAAUGCUACUUUAGUUAUACCUGAGCUCCAAUCAACCACAAGCAGUAAAGGAAUCAGCUCUGAGUUCAAGAGUUUUGCAUACCUUUACAAUGAGGACCAGUUCACAGCAGCUUUGGUAAAAGAUAUACAAGUUGUUAAAACCCUUCCAAAAGAUCUUAAAGGGGCAAGGAGAAAAAAGAAGAUCCCAUCAUUCAGGGUGUCUCAUUCAGCUUCACCAUAUUUUUAUUUGCAUCAUGUUCUUCCAGUACUUAAUAAGCAUUCAGUGGUUGAGCUGGUGGUUUCUGAUGGGGGAUGCUUGCAGGCCAUCCUCCCACCCCACCUUGAAGAAUAUCAAAGGCUGAGAUGUAGAGUUGCUUAUCAUGCCUUACGCUUCCGAGAAGAGGUCCAGGAACUCACAACUAAAAUAUUGUACAGGUUGCGAGCUCCUGGCCGGCCAUUUAUAGCCUUUGAUCCUGGGAUGACAAGAGAUGCUUUGGCAUAUUAUGGCUGUGCUGAAGUCUUCCAGGUACCUUUGACAAACCCAGAUGUCAUGCUUGUUGCUUUGAUUUGUCAAACCUUUUAACAGUAGAGCUUACCUUGUGUUUGAUUUUGCAUUGUGUCUUGGAGCUUUUCCCAAGGAUGUGCACACUGAACUCAUUCAGCACAAACGAGCCUGGAUGAUAAAACGUAGGAUUGUCAAGGGAAAGCUAUCUGUAAAUUCUGAUGAGCAACGUCAUAAAGGUUCAUGUCCAUUAAUGCCAGAAGAGGUAGAGCAUAUCUGGAAUUUAGCUCUUGUUUGGUACAAUACUGCAUGCAUAUAAAACAUAAAUACUUUUGGUUUUUACCCUUCAAUUUUUUGGGACUGUAGAAUGAGCUACUUUUUAAUUUGAAGAUUGGAGGCUGCUUCCAUCACUUAAUCCGUAGAGGAAGUAGGGUUGUAUUCAAAAUACACUGAUUCGGCUUUUAUAGAAAAAUUAUCUUUGAAAUCUGUGAUUGGGUAAUGUGAUCGGUGAGAUAGUAACGAUGGUCCAAUUUUUAAAAAAUGGCUGUUUGACUCGGCCACUUUAUUACCAGGCAUAAGUAUCUUUUGAAGGACUGACUAAUUAAAGAAAUCAUAACCAAGCCUUUGAUCUACAUCACAUGUUUUUUCACAGGUUGGUAUUCUUCUUCGUGCAUAUGGAUACCCAUGGGACACAAUUAUAUAUGUUUCUGGGGGAGAAGUGUUUGGCGGCCAAAGGACAUUAAUUCCUCUUCAUGCAAUGUUUGAAAAUGUUGUUGAUAGGACUUCCCUCAGCACUGGAUGGGAGCUCGGUAGAAUUUAUGGUCGCGAGGUUAACCUUGCUGGUAAUAACCCAAAGAUCCCACCUUCUGUUGUGGAAGAAAAGAAGCUUGAAGCAUGGAAAACUGCAGGUCCGCGUCCUCGUCCACUUCCACCUCCUCCAGCUCGACCCAAAUACCCAUAUAACAUUGAAGGUUGGUGGGGCUGGGUUGCUGAGAGCGAUAAUGAGCCUGAAAGUACUGUUAUAGAGUUGAGGACCAAUGCCCAUAAAUUAUUAUGGGAUGCAAUUGACUAUGUAAUUUGUGUUGAAGCUGAUGUGUUUAUUCCUGGAUUUGAUCAUGAUGGGAAAGGACAUCCAAAUUUUGCCAGCUUAGUUAUGGGGCAUCGGCUCUAUCAAUCAACUUCAUCUAAAACAUUUCGACCAGACAGGUAAUAAUUGAGCACACAAGUAUCUAUACAAAGAAAGUACUUUACCAUCAAUCCUUUCUCAAUGGGAGUACCUUGUCCCAUUUUCCAUUGCUUUUUUCCAACUCAUGUUAAAUAAACAAUUGUCUUGCAUCUUGAGUAACAUGACAAAUUAGUUGGUUUAUUCUUCCUCUUAAAACUGUCGUUUGUUAAAUUACAUGCUUUAGAAUUUGGCUAUGUAUUGGUCCUAUAGCAUUUAUGCAAACCGAAGUAUUAAAUUAUGCGGAGGUAACAUGCAUCAACCUUACCAAGUAACAUCUGAGUAGUAAAUGACAGAACAUCCAUCAUCCUUUUCUUUUGUUAUAUUGUUAACUUGUGUGUUAUUUGUUAUUGCAGGAAGGAAGUUGCCAAACUUUUAGAAGAAACCCGUGAACACCUAUAUCAAGCAAAUCGUACCUGGCUGACAUCAAUACGCAGGCAUCUGAGGAGAAGUUUAGUUGAUGGAGCAAUAGAAGCAUCCACAAAGUCAAAACCAUUUUCUUUUCUUUCGCAUCCGGUUCCUGAAUGUUCUUGCUCAAGAUAUAAUGUUACUGAAACACCAGGGCAUGCUUCAAGCUCUCCAACUCAUGCACAAGUUGAGGCUGCUCUUGGAGUUACUCACCGCUGCCCUAGAUGGAUGGAUGGUGAAACAAUCUCAAGAUUAAAGGACAAAGAAAUUGAAGAAGUUCUUGAUGAAGAUGUUUCCUCUUCCGGAUUGUUUUUCAAGCAUAGUGUUGGAAGUCAUGAAAGUGGAGGUGGAGAAAUAAACAAAGAGGAAACUCAAUUGGAGGACCAGGAAGAAUUUGAGGGUGUAGAAUAAAAAGAGCAAGCCCCAUAUUAACUCCAAUGAUUGUCUCUGAGUGUUAAAGUGACCUGUUACAUGCCUUGAAUGCAUGUUCUUCAUGAAGAAAGAGUUUCACAAGCUGAUUAUGAGGAAGGUUGCAAAAAAUACUUGGCUUCUAUUGAUGGGAAAAAGCAAGUUUUGGGUAGACUCUGGUUGAAGAACUUAACGAAUAAAGCCCAUAAAAAUUAACACGUAUUCAAUCCAUAUGCUCGGGUAUGAAGCUCCUAGACCAUUUGCAUUAGAUGAGUAAUUUAGUUGAGUCCUUUUUGGGGAAAAAUGAUUUUUAUACAUGCAAUCCCCAACCAAUUUUGAUGUAGAGACUAGCA
rnacentral:misc_RNA from 1 species